rnacentral:tRNA from 1 species
AUCAGGAUGGCCGAGUGGUCUAAAGCGCCAAACUCAAGUUCUGUUCUUCGAGAGAGGGCGUGGGUUAAAUCCCACUUCUGACA